AGAGGUCAGCUCGUAAACAGCGACAACAAGCCGUGAGGCGACAGAAGGACCACUUCUCUCCCUUCUCAGCUGCGCCCUCUAGUGAUGUCAUCAAUGACGGCAUUAGCCGUCCGUACAGUGCCCCGGAACUACAGAAAUCGGAGGACCCUACACGUGUUGACGAUGACAAUGAAUACGAAGAACAUCUCCAUGCUGGCUGCAGGGCCCUGCAGACUGGAGACCUGGACACAGCAGAACAAAGCUUUGCAGCUGCGCUCAAGUCUGUUCACGUCAAGGG